rnacentral:rRNA from 1 species
GCUUGUCUCAAAGAUUAAGCCAUGCAUGUCUAAGUAUAAACAAAUUCAUACUGUGAAACUGCGAAUGGCUCAUUAAAUCAGUUAUAGUUUAUUUGAUGGUAUCUUGCUACAUGGAUAACUGUGGUAAUUCUAGAGCUAAUACAUGCUGAAAAGCCCCGACUUCUGGAAGGGGUGUAUUUAUUAGACUUAAGCCAAUAUUCCUUGUGUCUAUUGCGAUGAUUCAUAAUAACUGAUCGAAUCUCAAAUUUGAGAUAAAUCAUUCAAGUUUCUGCCCUAUCAGCUUUCGAUGGUAGUGUAUUGGACUACCAUGGCAGUAACGGGUAACGAAGAAUUAGGGUUCGAUUUCGGAGAGGGAGCAUGAGAAACGGCUACCACAUCUAAGGAAGGCAGCAGG